UUAGAGUUUGAUCAUGGCUCAGGACGAACGCUGGCGGCGUGCUUAACACAUGCAAGUCGAGCGGAAAGGCCCACUUGUGGGUACUCGAGCGGCGAACGGGUGAGUAACACGUGAGUAAUCUGCCCUUCACUUUUGGAUAGCCACCGGAAACGGUGAUUAAUACGGAAUAUUCAUGCAUGAUCGCAUGGUUGUGUGUGGAAACUUUUUUGGGUGGGGGAUGUGCUCGCGGCCUAUCAGCUUGAUGGUGGGGUAAUGGCCUACCAUGGCUUUGACGGGUAGCCGGCCUGAGAGGGUGACCGGCCACACUGGGACUGAGACACGGCCCAGACUCCUACGGGAGGCAGCAGUGGGGAAUAUUGGACAAUGGGCGGAAGCCUGAUCCAGCAACGCCGCGUGAGGGAUGACGGCCUUCGGGUUGUAAACCUCUUUCAUCUCCGACGAAGCGUGAGUGACGGUAGGGGAAGAAGAAGAACCGGCCAACUACGUGCCAGCAGCCGCGGUAAUACGCC
rnacentral:rRNA from 1 species